rnacentral:rRNA from 1 species
UACGAAGGGUGCAAGCGUUAAUCGGAAUUACUGGGCGUAAAGCGCGCGUAGGUGGUUUACUAAGUCAGUUGUGAAAGCCCUUGGCUCAACCUUGGAACGGCAGUGGAAACUGGUAAGCUGGAGUGCGGUAGAGGAUGGCGGAAUUCCAAGUGUAGCGGUGAAAUGCGUAGAGAUCGGGAGGAACAUCAGUGGCGAAGGCGGCUAUCUGGACCAGCACUGACGCUGAGGCGCGAAAGCGUGGGGAGCAAACAGG